rnacentral:rRNA from 1 species
AUGGAGACUUUGAUGCAAAAGAUCCGAAGAUGGCGGCAUACCAAAAUGCCGUACGCAACAUAUCAACUCGGUUUGAGGGGCUUGAGUUCCACCACGUCGCUCGGGAAAGUAAUCAGGCAACCGAUAUCCUUGCUCGAAUGGGCGCUAGGCGUGACCCCGCCCCGCCUAACACCUUUGUGGAAAGGCUCUUCAAGCCAUCCGUGGUAUGGUAGGACGAGAGUGGAAAUACUAGUCCGGCGCCGAUCACACCCUGAGAAGCCGAACACAAUUCCGAUGUCACCGGGUGCUCAGGUACAGAAGUGA